GUAGGAGCUACGCUGACUCCGGGGUGUGAAGCCGACCGGUCUGACUUUUCAUCACUGCCGAACCCACUCGAACCACAGCCAUGUCCGGGGACGAGAUGAUUUUUGAUCCUACUAUGAGCAAAAAGAAAAAGAAGAAGAAGAAGCCUUUUAUGUUAGAUGAAGAAGGUGAUGCCCAGACAGAAGAAACCCAGCCCUCAGAGACAAAAGAAGUGGAGCCAGAACCAGCUGAAGAGAAAGAUGUGGAAGCCGAUGAAGAGGACAGUAGGAAAAAAGAUGCUUCUGAUGACUUAGAUGACUUGAACUUCUUUAAUCAAAAGAAAAAGAAGAAAAAGACAAAAAAGAUAUUUGAUAUUGAUGAAGCUGAAGAAGCUAUAAAGGAUGUUAAGAUUGAAAGUGAUGCUCAAGAGCCGGCCGAGCCGGAGGACGACCUUGACAUUAUGCUUGGCAAUAAGAAGAAGAAAAAGAAGAAUGUGAAAUUCCCAGAUGAAGACGAAAUACUAGAAAAAGAUGAAGCUUUAGAAGAUGAAGACAGCAAAAAAGAUGAUGGCAUUUCAUUCAGUAACCAAACUGGGCCUGCUUGGGCAGGCUCAGAAAGAGACUACACAUAUGAGGAGGUGAGACCAUUUUUUUAUUUUUUAUUUUUUUGAGAAGAGGAUUAGAGCUAUUCAUGUAAGAACGGGAAAGCAGGGUAUAAAUCCCCUACAUUGGAAGAGCCACUGGAAUAGAGAGUAGUGAUAAAACCGUCCAGUAGGCCAUGCAGCCAGUGCACGUGA
rnacentral:lncRNA from 1 species